rnacentral:rRNA from 1 species
CUUCCAUCCUAAGAGAGGGAAUUACCCUUUCGAGAAGGGGAGACUUCAUUCCCCCUAAGGUUGUAUCUCCCUCUUUGUACAGCCAUUUAAGGGAGCUAUCCCUUAUGAGAAUGGGCCCGCGGGCGCAUUAGCCUAUUUGUGGAGGUAUGGUUUCACCCAGGCGGUUGAUGGGUAUCCGACCUGAGAGGGUGAUCGGCCAACAUUGGGGUUGGGACACGACCCAGACUCCUACGGGAGGCAGCAGUGGGGAAUAUUCCACAAUGGGGGAAACCCUGAUGCAGCAACGCCGCCGGAGUUGAUUUCUUCCCCCCCCCCCCAAAGCUCUGUCUUCAGGGACGAUAAUGACGGUGCCUGAGGAGGAAGCCACGGCUAACUACGUGCCAGCAGCCGCGGUAAUACGUAGUUGGCGAGCGUUGUCCGGAUUUACUGGGCGUAAAGGGAGCGUAGGCGGAUUUUUAAGUGAGAUGUGAAAUACUCGGGCUUAACCUGAGUGCUGCAUUUCAAACUGGAAGUCUAGAGUGCAGGAGAGGAGAAGGGAAUUCCUAGUGUAGCGGUGAAAUGCGUAGAGAUUAGGAAGAACACCAGUGGCGAAGGCGCUUCUCUGGACUGUAACUGACGCUGAGGCUCGAAAGCGUGGGGAGCAAACAGGAUUAGAUACCCUGGUAGUCCACGCCGUAAACGAUGAAUACUGGGUGUAGGGGUUGUCAUGACCUCUGUGCCGCCGCUAACGCAUUAAGUAUUCCGCCUGGGGAGUACGGUCGCAAGAUUAAAACUCAAAGGAAUUAACGGGGGCCCGCACAAGCAGCGGAGCAUGUGGUUUAAUUCGAAGCAACGCGAAGAACCUUACCUAGACUUGACAUCUCCUGCAUUACUCUUAAUCGAGGAAGUCCCUUCGGGGACAGGAUGACAGGUGGUGCAUGGUUGUCGUCAGCUCGUGUCGUGAGAUGUUGGGUUAAGUCCCGCAACGAGCGCAACCCUUAUUGUUAGUUGCCAUCAUUAAGUUGGGCACUCUAGCGAGACUGCCCGGGUUAACCGGGAGGAAGGUGGGGAUGACGUCAAAUCAUCAUGCCCCUUAUGUCUAGGGCUACACACGUGCUACAAUGGUCGGUACAAUAAGACGCAAGCCCGCGAGGGGGAGCAAAACUGGAAAACCGAUCUCAGUUCGGAUUGUAGGCUGAAACUCGCCUACAUGAAGCUGGAGUUGCUAGUAAUCGCGAAUCAGCAUGUCGCGGUGAAUACGUUCCCGGGCCUUGCACACACCGCCCGUCA